rnacentral:rRNA from 1 species
UUUUGGACAAUGAGGGAAACCCUGAUCCAGCAAUGCCGCGUGAGUGAAGAAGGCCUUCGGGUUGUAAAGCUCUUUUGUCAGGGAAGAAACACCGGCUCUAACACAGUCCGGGAAUGACGGUACCUGAAGAAUAAGCACCGGCUAACUACGUGCCAGCAGCCGCGGUAAUACGUAGGGUGCAAGCGUUAAUCGGAAUUACUGGGCGUAAAGCGUGCGCAGGCGGUUAUACAAGACAGGCGUGAAAUCCCCGGGCUUAACCUGGGAAUGGCGCCUGUGACUGUAUAGCUAGAGUGUGUCAGAGGGGGGUAGAAUUCCACGUGUAGCAGUGAAAUGCGUAGAUAUGUGGAGGAAUACCAAUGGCGAAGGCAGCCCCCUGGGAUAACACUGACGCUCAUGCACGAA